AUAACAGUCAAGUUGGUUGUAACAUCCACCUGUGCUAAUACCCCUCUUUCCAGGCUUUAUCACCCACAGAAUGUGGCUUCCCGUUUAACAGUAGUGCCUUCCAGACAGCAGCUCGUUGGGCCCAACACAGAGGUUCAACUAAAUAAACACCAAAACCCUGCUGAGGUGGUGACUAUGGAAAGAGGAGUAAAGGUGGA